AGUGGCGGACGGGUGAGUAACGCGUGAGAAUCUGCCUUGGGGUCGGGGACAACCACUGGAAACGGUGGCUAAUACCGGAUAAGCCGAUUGGUGAAAGAUUUAUUGCCCGAAGAGGAGCUCGCGUCUGAUUAGCUAGUUGGUGAGGUAAGAGCUCACCAAGGCAGCGAUCAGUAGCUGGUCUGAGAGGACGAUCAGCCACACUGGGACUGAGACACGGCCCAGACUCCUACGGGAGGCAGCAGUGGGGAAUUUUCCGCCAUGGGCGAAAGCCUGACGGAGCAAGACCGCGUGAGGGAGGAAGGCUCUUGGGUUGUAAACCUCUUUUCUCAGGGAAGAAGCUCUGACGGUACCUGAGGAAUCAGCCUCGGCUAACUCCGUGCCAGCAGCCGCGGUAAUACGGAGGAGGCAAGCGUUAUCCGGAAUUAUUGGGCGUAAAGCGUCCGCAGGUGGCGAUUCAAGUCUGCUGUCAAAGCACGGGGCUUAACUCCGUAAAGGCAGUGGAAACUGAAUAGCUAGAGUGCCGUAGGGGUAGAGGGAAUUCCCGGUGUAGCGGUGAAAUGCGUAGAGAUCGGGAAGAACAUCGGUGGCGAAAGCGCUCUACUGGACGGCAACUGACACUCAGGGACGAAAGCUAGGGGAGCGAAUGGGAUUAGAUACCCC
rnacentral:rRNA from 1 species